CCUACGGGGGGCAGCAGUGGGGAAUAUUGGACAAUGGGGGGAACCCUGAUCCAGCCAUGCCGCGUGUGUGAAGAAGGCCCUCGGGUUGUAAAGCACUUUCAGUGAGGAAGAACGCCUGGUGGUUAAUACCCAUCAGGAAAGACAUCACUCACAGAAGAAGCACCGGCUAACUCCGUGCCAGCAGCCGCGGUAAUACGGAGGGUGCGAGCGUUAAUCGGAAUUACUGGGCGUAAAGCGCGCGUAGGUGGCUUGAUAAGCCGGUUGUGAAAGCCCCGGGCUCAACCUGGGAACGGCAUCCGGAACUGUCAAGCUAGAGUGCAGGAGAGGAAGGUAGAAUUCCCGGUGUAGCGGUGAAAUGCGUAGAGAUCGGGAGGAAUACCAGUGGCGAAGGCGGCCUUCUGGACUGACACUGACACUGAGGUGCGAAAGCGUGGGUAGCAAACAGGAUUAGAUAGCCGGGUAGUC
rnacentral:rRNA from 1 species